rnacentral:rRNA from 1 species
UACGUAGGGGGGCAAGCGUUGUUCGGAAUUACUGGGCGUAAAGGGCGCGUAGGCGGCACGGCAAGUCAGGAGUGAAAGGCCUGGGCUCAACCGAGGAACUGGCUUUUUGAGACUGCCGAGCUAGAGUGCAGAAGGGGCAACUGGAAUUCCCAGUGGUAGCGGUGAAAUGCCGUAGAUAUUGGGAAGAACACCUGAGGCGAAGGCGGGGUUGCUGGGCGUGGACACUGACGCUGAGGCGCGAAGCCAGGGGAGCAAACGGG